UCCGGCUUAUCACCGGCAGUCCCCUUAGAGUGCCCAACUGAAUGAUGGCAACUAAGGGCGAGGGUUGCGCUCGUUGCGGGACUUAACCCAACAUCUCACGACACGAGCUGACGACAGCCAUGCAGCACCUGUCUCUCUGUCCCUUUCGGGCCUGCAAUAUCUCUACUGCAUUCAGAGGAUGCCAAACCCAGGUAAGGUUUUUCGCGUUGCAUCGAAUUAAACCACAUGCUCCACCGCUUGUGCGGGUCCCCGUCAAUUCCUUUGAGUUUUAACCUUGCGGCCGUACUCCCCAGGCGGUCGACUUCACGCGUUAGCUUCGUUACUGAGAGUGUCAAACCCCCAACAACCAGUCGACAUCGUUUAGGGCGUGGACUAC
rnacentral:misc_RNA from 1 species